rfam:Schistosoma mansoni strain Puerto Rico chromosome 2, complete genome
AGCUUUUUGAAUCCGUGCUGAGAUUUCGUCAGACACUGAUCUAUUAGUGCUGAUUAGACUUUCAAGAUAAGUGAAGUU